CUCAUGGUGACCCGGACUUUAAUUCUGUUUGCAAGUUGGAACGCCAAGUCGGUCUUAGCUAGAUGAUGUCAUGCGUGCCCUCCAAGCCCAUACCCCUUCCUGGCCGACUCCACUGGACGCUGCGUUCCACAUCAUGACGUAGGAGGUACCGACAACUGUGCAGACCACGUAGAGAUUAUGGCUGCUGAAUGCUCCAAGG